CCUACGGGAGGCAGCAGUGAGGAAUAUUGGUCAAUGGGCGGAAGCCUGAACCAGCCAAGUCGCGUGAGGGAUUAAGGCCCUGCGGGUCGUAAACCUCUUUUGCCGGGGAGCAGAGGUCCGGACGUGUCCGGGCCGGGAGAGUACCCGGAGAAAAAGCAUCGGCUAACUCCGUGCCAGCAGCCGCGGUAAUACGGGGGAUGCGAGCGUUAUCCGGAUUUAUUGGGUUUAAGGGGUGCGUAGGCGGGCAUUUAAGCCGGCGGUGAAAUGUUGGGGCUCAACCCCGGCCUGCCGGCGGAACUGGGUGCCUUGAGUGGGCGAGAAGUAGGCGGAAGGCGUGGUGUAGCGGUGAAAUGCAUAGAUAUCACGCAGAACCCCGAUUGCGAAGGCAGAAGACCGGCGCCCUACUGACGCUGAGGCACGAAAGUGCGGGUAUCGAACAGGAUUAGAUACCCGAGUAGUC
rnacentral:rRNA from 1 species